AUAAACAAUCCUCAAUUCGUUCGAUGUUCGGAAGUUUUUGCAAUAUUUCUUGUUUUGAAAAGUUCAAAAAAUCGUAAAAAGUGACCAAAUCGUUGGUCGAGCCGACGAUAAUCACGAUAGUGUACCGCAUUUUCACUGCAGCAAUAUGUCGAAGUGCAACGUCCCGCGAUGCCGGAGCUGAAAAAUUUUGAAGAAAAUCGGAUAACUUUCCACCAUUUUCCGACCAACAAAUUGUUGAGACGGAAAUGGUUAAACUUUUUCGAAUACAAAAGCUCGUUCGAUACGCGAAACAUAUUUGUUUGUUCGCUACAUUUUUCGCCGGAUUCUUUUGGGGAUACUGUUUUAACCUAUAAUCAGCAAAGAAGACGUCUUCGUACUGGAGGAACAUUAUAAGUCUCCACGCAAUGGAAUUCAGCAAGGCUCUAGCGACACAGGAAAUGAACAAACCGAUUCGUACUACACUACAAACAUGUGUAAAUUGCAACUGACAAGCAUAAAUACAUCGUACGAGAGUACAAAAAUAAAACAAAAAGACGAAACAGCGUUCUCACGCAGAAAAAAACACCACACACCGUAUUCACAAUCAUAAUCAUCACCACCAUCAUCAUCGUCAUCAUUACUGUCAACAACGCAGCGAGCCUUGUGGUUUGCUACCCAAAGAUCCAUCGAAGAUCUCAUGCGAAACGCAAAGACCGGAUGGAAGCUUACCUCGUUCCUCGUUCUGCCUGUCUGCUGCUCCUGUCGUACCCAACGACAAUCCUCUCGGGAGGUAUGUCUGGCCGGUUGCUGCUACUUACUACUACACUAUCCUUCCUUCCACCCUUCCACCUCUGUCCCUGAUUCUCACGACCGGCACUCUGCACACACCUUCAAUUUUCCCGGCACUCCCUCAACACAACAUCAACACGCAAAGAGUGCGGAGACGAGACGACCAGGCUUUCGCUCUCGAUUUCGAACCGGCUCUCCCUUUUUGAAAACGCGACCGGUGAGAACCUUCUACCACACCGCCAACAACAACAACAACAACAACAGUACACCCCGUGGCACAGUCACACCGCAGCUCUCUACCCCCACCCCGGGGGAGAAAAAGCGAUUACUGCUAUUCGGUUCUUUCCUUUGGGGUAUUUUCUUGCGCUCACCAAGGCUUUCAAUGGCUUGGACCGUCGCGACCGGUGUUGUGCUUCUAUUCGAACUCAACACUAAUUACCAAUUUGUGGUUUCGUGUAAAUCGAUUCUCCUCCAGACUAAACGUUCGAUUCCCUAGACAAAGACUGUCGGUAGUCCUGCAGGAACUGAUCACGAUGCACUUGUUCCAGCGUCUGGACAGUCCCACUAUCCGGCGUGAGUGUGUGUCCGCUUCGGUGAUACGGUUCAAGCCCGUGGAAGAAGAUCCCGGUGUACCCUCUUUUUGUGUUGGCUGCACUAUCGUGACACCACAACUGCUGCUGCUGCCGGUGGGGUUUGGCUGGAUGUGUCUCCACCACCAAAGUACAAGUACACAAACACAUCGAGCACCCGUCUACUUGCCGGUAUAUUCCUGUUGUACAUAGAAUACCCCUGCGCCUUCUAUGCUCCGAUGCCCUGAUAUGAGAUGGUUGGGGGGAACUUCUCUGCAGCCAGUCAACCAGAUUAUGUGCUCCGGUAUUUUCUUUCCUGCAUCUUGCGCCACUCUUCUUCCUCUCACCCAGCCACCGCUCGGGGUUCCGAUGAGUGAUGAUCCAGAUUGCGCUCCAGUGGGUUCGUUCGCCUGGGGGGGUGGCGACGACGAUGACGGGGUGGUUCGUGUCUUGCUUCUAGAACAAAAUAUUCGAUACCUAACACCAAUACCAACGCCGGGAGAGAGUGAGAAGAGAGCCUUCGGCGCGGUGACUUCGCAAGCAUGGCGUGCUUCGACAGAACUGAGUGGUUCCACUCGCGAGAUGUGAUUCUCUGGCUCUCCGCGAAAGGAUCGCGUUGUCUAGUGUGGAAAAACGCCGGUAUGCUAUCUCUUUUGGCACAUAAAACUGCUCUCCGAAAGAGAGGAGCAUGAUACGGGCAAGCAUGGGAGAAAAACCGAAUAUGUAUACAAAAUGUUGCAAGGAGAGUGUGCAGGGUCCAGCAAGUUGGGGUGGAGGCGGUGGAAUGAGCACAAUGGGAUACUUGAUUUUGCUGACAGAUUGUUGUUCCAAAGUACCCAUCCAUUUGAGUUGACGGAGAUGGAGAGUUCAAUAUCAAACCAGAUAAGUUUUUAAUUUUCAAUCUCAAUGAAAUCACAUACAUUCUUAACACGUUCGUCGCCCAACGCGACGUUUUUGAGUUUCUUGCAGGGCCCAACUUGCGAAUAAAUUCAUAAAUGAAGAUCAAACUUAGUUUGUAGAUAACUUUUACAUGAUCUAGCAAUGUUUGUUUUCAAUUUAAGACGAAUUGAUGGUAAUAACACAUGCCAAAGUCAUAUUAUAGGGGUUUUGCAAAAAACUGCAGU